AGUAGUAGGCGCAUGCGUGGUUGCGAUCAUGGCUGGCGGUAACUUCGCGUUUCUGUUACCCAUUUUUAAAACGCAUCUUCAGGUGUUCCUUCCUUCUCAUGGAAGGAACAUUAAUUAAAUUCAGAGGGACUGGGUUUUAGUCCUAACUCUUAUUCCUACUGGCUGUGUAACCGUGGACAAAUUAUUUAACUUCUCAGAAUCAGGUUGUUCAAACCUGAGGUUGAACUGCAAAAAGGUUACGAAGUGACACUCAGUAGGGCCCGAAUCCAUGUUUUCUUUGAUCCCAAUCUUUUUUAAAAAAAUUUCUUUUAAUUACUUGCCAACAUUUUAGAAUUUGGAAAUCUCACAUGAAAUUCUGGACUUUUGAAGCUGAGGAAUUCCAUUGCAACAAUCAAGGAGACUAAAUAGGAAAUGACACUUCUGUUUGGCCAUCUUGCCCUCAUUGGUUUAGAAUGGCAGUGGUUCUCAACCCUGGCUGCACAUUAGAAUCACUUUAGGAGAGGUAAAACCAUACUCACGCUGGAGACCUACUCCUAGAAAUUCUAAAGAGUUUGGGGCUGGGAACUGGCCAUUGAUCUGCCUUUGAAGUUUCCCAAGUGAUUCCCAACCUCUGAUGUAAUAAAUUUCUGGCUGCUGUCGUAUUUGAGAUUUGACCCCCCCAGGUCUAAGACUUAAUUGAUUUUUAAGGCUGUAAGACAUUUCUAAGACUUUGACUUUUAAGACUUUCCUGCCUCAUUCUGAAGAGAAAAGGCCACAUGAGGACACCAUGAGAAGGCAGCUGUCUACAAGCCAGGAAGAGAGUCCUCACCAGAAACCAGCUCUGCUGGCACCUUGAACUUGGACUUCACGCCUCCAGAACAAUAUUAACACAGUGCUAUGUAAUGGAGGAAACCCAAGAAAUAUUUUUUGCCUUGAAGAAAAGAACACAAACUCAGAAGUCACAUGGAUCUAAGAUAAGACUUGCAAAGAUUUAAAUUCAAUUCUGCCAUUUACUUCAUAUGAGGACCUUGAGAACCAGUUGAUAGCAUAUCAGAAAAGCUAAUUAAUUUGCCAUGGUUACCAGGAAAACAGGGCCUAGUCUCCAAAGUACAGCCAAAUAGAGGAGCCAAAUAAAAAAGAGGGAAAUUUUUGUCAUGCAUCUUGUUUUUCUGAAAUGUUAUGUUUUAAAAUAUAUCAAUAUUCAAAACACCAUGUGCUUUAUUGAGUUUUAACUCUUAAUUUUGUCCUCUUUUUUCUGCUAGGGUGUUUUUGAGCAGACAAACAAUUUCUUAUUGCCAGGAUACAGCCUGGAACUCUUAAGCACACCAGGCAAGCAUAUGUAUGAAAUAAAAUUUCUACAAAGAAGAGAUUCGUCAAAAAGCAUCACUGGGACACCAACCAAGUGUAAGGCUCUGUGAGGAAAAGGGAAUUUCAGAAAACUGUCAUACCCAGCCACUGCCAGUGAGGAUAUGGUAAUCUUCUUUGGGGACAGAGUGCACAUUCCCCUGAUAAGUCUAGAAAGCAUAGGAUUAGGGCCCAGUGUCGGGCAGACAAUACAUAUUACAGGAAUU